ACAGGUCGGGUGUGUGCUCACGUGGGGACGUCGGGCCGAAGGCCCCGAUGGUGCUGGGCACAAACAGCUUGAGUCCAUUCUCUGCCGCGAUGUCCAGCACAUUGUGCAGCCCUGAGCAACCAGCCGGGCGUGUUGUCCACUCCACGGCGGCGGCAGCGGCUAAAAGGCAACCCAUGAGCGUGGUGUAGGAUGUCGACAUGUGGAAACUGGAGAAUCUGGAGGAAACCCAUGCAGAACAGAGGGAGAGAACAUCCAAACUCCACACAGAAAACCAAACCCACCAGGGCCCUUCUUGCUGCGAGGCAUGAGUGGCACUACUGCACUGCCACCCCUGCCACCCUAUAUUCCACGCUUGCCGUCAUGGAAGCGAUGAAGGCACAUGUGGAAUAGACGUGGCCAAGGACACGUGGCAAAGACACAGGACAGCCCUGACAGUCAGGCAUCCUGCACACUUAAACCCGCCAGCUGUCACAUCCAAGCGACAUCUAUCGCCAGAUGUGACAUUAACUGCUUUGUCUAGCAAAAACAUCUAACGGUGUACGAGUCGCAUUUAAAAACUAAUAUUUGUUUAGAUUUUUUUUUACAAUUAUCUCUAUUAUUUUUGAACGAAAUUGAAAAGACAAAUGUGUGGGAAAAACAUAAUUAUAUUUCACAAAAUACAGUUUAGGCUGGAUAUAAGCACACCCCUUGGGCGCAAGGGCCAGCUGUGCUUAUAUGAGGCUUGCAUAGUUAACUAAAGUUGGCUUCAGAUGUUCAUCCCUCAGGCAAGCUUGGAAUUUGUUUAUUUAAUGAACAAUUUGCAUAUUAGUUUUUUUUUACAUGCACCAACAUGAGCCGGAAUGAGCUGGCACAGACCUCGCGUUGCAAGGGCAUUGUGCCCCGAUUUGCUGGGCCCUGACUUGCUUUGGUGCAUCUGCUAAAGGGCUCAAAUUCAAAUCUCGGUCUUCUCUAUCACUGAUGCCGACACUUGGUGCUGCCACGAUGUAAUCGGUAGCACACUGGACUUGCAGAUCUUGUGUGAGAAUUUUGAAUUGUAGUUUGGGAUGUCACUUCAUAGACUAAUUCUCUAUGUUGUGAUGCCUUUUUUCAUGCCUUUUAUUUUUGCUCCAUUUCUUGAUUUGUUUAUUCUUAUUAUUAUUUUCUGAGGGCCUUCAUUUGCUUGGUAGUUGCUACGAAUAGGAUUUGUCGCUUCUAUAUAAUAAGUGUACAAAUUUGUGGGAUGCAAUUAGCAUGAAUAUUAUAUAAUUUUAUAAGGAAGCCAGUGGAGCUGUGUACUUUAAAAUCUCGAUUGAAAACUUAAUUUAUUUAGACCUGUUUUUCGUGUUUAGAUGGUUGUCCUUCCCCCAAUUAAAUCUACCAAUACGGCAGUUGCAACAACGGUGCGAGUGUCUUAACCCUCCCCCUGCCACCGCCUCUGUCCUUAAAACAGCUGAGUAACACCAGUCAGCUGAUCGGCAGGUCUCAUAUGGUGGGGUAAAAUGUGGAUAGAUGUCUCACCGGCAUGGAAGAGUUGAGCAAAUACUCUAGGAGCUCUGGUAAACCUCCUUCUUAAAAAAAAAAAAAACCCCACUUGAACAAUCGGCCAAAGAUCUUCACUGACGGAGCUGUGUCUCGUUGCAUCCAAUGUGCACGUGCAAAAUUUGACGCCAAACAGCGUUUAGAGUUGUAGCCACUUGGCUAGCUCAGCGCGUGAGAAGUUAAAGUUUGUGCACUCACGCCUCAUCGGUAGAAAUAUAUCGAGCGAUGGAAAAUUUUCGGGGUGGAAUGAUUCACUGACAUUCAUAUUUAGCCUU